AGAGCAGGUCAAAACUAAUGUUCUUUGUAAAGCAAUGUGCAUAUCUUGGUGCAAGUACUGUGACUCUGCAGCUUAGGCUGGUGAAAAGGUACGUGCCUAACUUUGCACAUUUUGUAGUUUUGUGGUUUGAAGCAAGGUUGCUUUUGCAUAAAAUAGAUUGUAUACAUGAGUCAUUGAUGAGUAGGCACUUGCUCACUGUUAGGUGAGAUCUGUGCUUCGGCUGCUCUUAUAUCUUUCAGUGAUAAGAUCCCACGGUACUGUUGCAACAGUAAUAGAAGUCUCACAGUCCCUUGAAAACACUCAGCAAAAGAGACAGCUGUAUUGACUCAGAGGACCUGAGGUCUGCCUGGAGCAUCCCACUUGAUAAGCAAUGAGAAGGUCCAGUGGCUGUGGCAAUAGUGGAGGACUGAGGACCAGCAGAGCCUGCAGACCAACUGCUGGAAACCAGGCACUGUCUAAGGUAUUUCACAUGGCUUUGAAAACUCAUGGAGGAUAGAAGAGACAGCAGAAGACUGAAUAAAUAACUCUUAGAAAAAUCGAUGGAAGAGUACCCAAGUAAUUUUAAUUAGGUAGCCUAACUUCCUGGAUUUCAGAAAAAAAUUACCAGUUUCUAAAUGAAAGGCGAUAAAAACUUGUUGACGUGCCUCUAUCAACAACAUGUGAUACCAAACCAAACUAAUGUCCUUCUUCUACAUAUUGCCUACUAGAUACAGAUGAAGCAGUAAAUAUUACUAUGUUCCCUGUUGAUACUUGUAAGUAACUGAACAAGUACAUCCUAGAUAAAAUCAUUAGAAGGUGAGGAUAGAGGAGGACAAAUGAUCAGCAAUACUACUUUUGAAAGGUAGUUGUGGGUUGCUGACAGUCAAUUUGAGAUGGCUUUUCAGGUAGGCUUUAGGAAUUUGGUGACUAUUUAAUGUGAUGGGAUGAUUUUUUUUUUUAUGCCAAGCUUUCUAUCGAAAUAGCAUAAAAUAAAAAGUGCUGUAAUUAUAGGUCAUGUACAAACAGAAGUGACGCAGCUUGUUUCAGGUGAUCAAGUCUUUGGUCAAAGGACAAGAGUGCCACUCUUUGUGCUGUAGAUUGCUACUAGUUUCUUUCCUGAGUCCUUUAAUAUGUCGUUAAAGUCCUCUGCCUGCCUUCUCCAAAGAGUCUCAGAGUUAAAACUUCGAUACUGUAAAAUAUACUACCCUGUUAUCACACUGGUAAUAAUAUUAUGUGUUAAGCCUGUGAAUGCAAGCUAAGUGUAUAUUCUAAACUACAGAUUUUGUUCUGGCAAAUGAGAAAAAUUGCAGGAUUUACUUGCAAAAGGUGUUUUGCCUAGUUUCUCCAUACUUGAUGUUAAUCUGCCCUUGCCAGCUAUUAAAGUAGAAAUUACUGCCACUGUAUUGCACAAAAGCAGAGAUUCUGCAAUUGUGAAUUUAAUGUAGUUUGGAACACUUUGUAGUCUUCAGAGUCAGACACAUUUUCCCCAUCGCCCAAAUUAUUUUAAAUUGCAAGUAAAGUUUUGCAAAACUGUUACCAUUAUUUUCUCAGUUCACCUAAGCUGCUUUUACAAGGCUGUUAUCUACGCGAAAUCACAACAUCUUUUAUUAAAAUAGUUAUAAGAGCAUUGAACCUGUCAGCUGUAAUUUGCAGCUUUUUCUCCUUUAGAUUCUGCGCUCUUGCUGAAAAAACAAAAAUCCACAGAAAACAAACCCCAGUAACCUAAGGUACAAUCCAUUUUUUUAACAUUUGCCCAAUGUGAAUUUCAGAGAAGAUACCUACAAAGUGUAUUUGAAGAGUAAAGAGCAGAACUGCCAAUGGGCAGCCUGAAAAAUGUCUGAUGAUUUUGUGACGCUCUGUGAUCAAGAGCAUCACAGCUAUAGGAUAAAGAGAAUAUUGUUGUCUUUGCAUCUUCUAUAUGUAAGAGUGCAUUUAAGCUGAAAUGAAGGCUAGAACCUGAGCCCAGAACUUCAGUCAAGAGGAAAGUGUCUUCUUUUUAGAUUUUUCUAUGACUUAGCCUACAGUUCUGCCUACAGAUCUCCAAAUCACUGCUAGAGAAGCAGAUGCAGUUGUUUAUGUGCAGGUGUGCUGUGUACCUGAUGUAAUCCUGCAAGUUCUACAUCCACAGAAUUUCUGCAGAAUUCUGAGUGAUGUCUGUGCUUGGAAGGCUUCCAAGUCAAGGUUCUCACAUCAGAAGAAUCUCAAUCAAAGCUUUUUCAAAAGCAAACAAACAAGCAAUCUUUCCGUAUUGCUGACAAUCUUCUCUGAGUCUCAGUUCCCCAAACCUCUCUCCUAUUAGUUACCAAUGUCUGUGACACAGAUCAUAUUUUGUUUUCAGAUGUUAAUGUAGCUUUUACUUCAUGAUCACAUUAAUUGCAUUUGUGCUGUGGAGAUUUUUAAUUCCAAAAGGUACUGCCAGCUUUUGUGUACUCAAUUUAUAUUUAAGAAGAGUUUCUGCUCUUCACAGUGACCUCUGCUGACUUUCAUAUAUUUAGAAUCUGAAGUUGUGAAUCUCCUUGAUUCAUCUUCUGUUAAAGAAUGUUGGCUAUGCAAAAACUGGCAGAGGGGUUAAGGAGGAUGAAAAAAACAGUAUUACAGAGAACCAGGAUACGGCAGGGUAUUCGUUCCCUGAAGGUAUGUUGCCACCAAGAGUAACAGCGAGAAUAAUGAUCACACAAAGAGAAAAAAGAGCACUGGAGAUCUAUGAAAUUUACUUGAUUUUGAAAAACUUAAUUGAGGAAGGACUUGGAGGUCUGCCAAUUCCUACUGAGCUCCUUACAAAAAGUGGGUUGGCACUGUGUGCAUGUGGCAUAUCAUCUGUCGGACAGAGUAAGACAGCCAUUCACCUGGCUCUGCUCUAGCUAUGCGCAGCUGGGAAUUUCACAUCAGAAAGGAGAGGAGGAUACACAAACUGCUUCCGAUGUUUCAGAGGAUGAGCAUGCUGAAAUGCAAAGCCCUGGGUGCUGGAGGUAGCUGUGAUGAGUUUACGGCACAGGAGCCACAGCUGGUAGGAAGGCACAUGAUCUCACCCUAAAAUGUUGUACUAUUUUAGUCUCUUUUUUACACACAUGGAAGAAUCAAACAGUUUGAGGAUGACAAAUUUGAGAAGCAAAAUGGAAAAGGAUCUGAUUGUUACGAGAGAAGAACUAAUGAGCUUUUAGUAGAUGAGUAGGAACAAGAUGAAGUGCCGCAAUACCCAGUGCAAGGUCACUGGGUAUUAUUAAAGGCAAAACACUAGAAUUUCUGCUCUAGACGCUUGGUGAUUAAGGAGUCCAUACAUGAACAAGUAGUUCUUGCUCCAGUCAUCAAACAGCCACACCAAAGAAUGAGUAAGAUGAAAGGCAAGGCUGCUGUGGAAUGUGGAGCUGAUGAGAUAGCCGCUGAGAACAGGUUGGAGGUGAAAUAGAUGAAUGACUUCAGUUGACUGCACCUUCUGUAAAAUGUAAAGAAGCAGAGAAGAGUAAGAACUUUUCAAUGAUUCUAAGAAAACAGAGCAAAAAAAGUUGAAACAAAAGAACCUGAGAAAUUGCUUGCAUGACACUGCAGUCUUAUGGGUUAUGCUGUCAGCAAAAAAAUUGUGAGUUUUCUGCAGGCUCAACAGGAAUGGCCAUGUGGCAGCAGCUAGCAGUAUGUGCAGUGCUGGAAGUGAUAGGAACCAAUUGGAACAGUGACUGGAAGCAGAAGUCUUCGGAAGAGCAUCAGCAUUCUGCAAUGUGGGGAGAAUCCCGACCUGCCUCUUUAUACCGGUGGUGUGUUUAUUGGACUGGGACAAGUAUCUCUCAUUAGACAAGAAUUCUGAGUUUUUCCCUUCUUUUGUGUCAAUAACAUGAGUAUGGGAGAAGGAAAGUAGGCUGCCCUGCAUCUGAAAGGGAAAGCAGUGAAGUCUGUGAUCUCUGUUUGCUUAAAUGAUAGUAAAAAAAAAAAAAAAAAAAAGCCAUUUUAGAGCUUCCUACUUCAGAACUUCCUUUUCUAAAUCUUGAAAGAAGCUGCUUACAAGAUCAAGCUGGAAGACUGAAUACUGGCAGAAUUUGAUAGGAAAUAAAUGUUCUUUGUCUUGUAGUAUAUAUUGUAUACAGUCUUGAUGUUGUCUUGUUGCCUGCACCAGAUUUCCUCCUCAGUUUACUUAAUAAUUAUUAUGUGAAUAAAA